GAUGAAGAACGCAGCGAAAUGCGAUAACUAAUGUGAAUUGCAGAAUUCCGUGAAUCAUCGAGUCUUUGAACGCACAAUGCGCCCCCUGGUAUUCCGGGGGGCAUGCCUGUCCGAGCGUCAUUGCUGCCCAUCAAGCACGGCUUGUGUGUUGGGUCCCGUCCCCCUCUCCCGGGGGACGGACCCGAAAGGCAGCGGCGGCACCGCGUCCGGUCCUCGAGCGUAUGGGGCUUUGUCACCCGCUCUUGUAGGCCCGGCCGGCGCUUGCCGACACCCAACCAUUUUUUUCAGGUUGACCUCGGAUCAGGUAGGGAUACCCGCUGAACUUAAGCAUAUCAAUAAGCGGAGGA
rnacentral:misc_RNA from 1 species